UCAUCGGAUGGGAUAAUCCUUACCUGUUCCUCCUUUUGGAGGGCAGAUUGGAACAGGAUGACUGGAGUUUGCAUGAUUCCUGCUUAAUGACUCUGUGUAAUCAGGACUUGCAACACCCUGGUUGCUCCUAAAAAAA